rnacentral:ribozyme from 1 species
UCCUAGCUACAUGCUCACACCUUCACGCGGUGUCCGGUGUUAAUUGCCAAAAAUGAUGGUAAAACCAAGAUGAGC